UGUCGUCAGCUCGUGUCGUGAGAUGUUGGGUUAAGUCCCGCAACGAGCGCAACCCCUGCCCUUAGUUGCCAGCGGGUUGGGCCGGGCACUCUAAGGGGACUGCCUGCGAAAGCAGGAGGAAGGCGGGGACGACGUCUGGUCAUCAUGGCCCUCACGGCCUGGGCGACACACGUGCUACAAUGCCCACUACAGAGCGAGGCGACCCAGUGAUGGGGAGCGAAUCGCAAAAAGGUGGGCGUAGUUCGGAUUGGGGUCUGCAACCCGACCCCAUGAAGCCGGAAUCGCUAGUAAUCGCGGAUCAGCCAUGCCGCGGUGAAUACGUUCCCGGG
rnacentral:rRNA from 1 species